GCUAGCGACUGUGACAGAACGUUGAAUACGCCACGCCAGUUUCCAAUGGAUCACUGAAGUUAAGCAAUGUUGCUCGUGAUUGGUAUCCGGAUGGGCUGCCAAGUGGGAAAUUGCGUCCUGCUGGAU
rnacentral:rRNA from 1 species